rnacentral:rRNA from 1 species
GGAGCGUAGGCGGACUUUUAAGUGAGAUGUGAAAUACCCGGGCUCAACUUGGGUGCUGCAUUUCAAACUGGAAGUCUAGAGUGCAGGAGAGGAGAAUGGAAUUCCUAGUGUAGCGGUGAAAUGCGUAGAGAUUAGGAAGAACACCAGUGGCGAAGGCGAUUCUCUGGACUGUAACUGACGCUGAGGCUCGAAAGCGUGGGAGCAAACA